UACGUAGGGGGCGAGCGUUGUCCGAAUUUACUGGGCGUAAAGCGCGCGUAGGCGGUUUCUUAAGUCUGGGGUGAAAGGUUCAACGCUCAACGUGAACAGUGCCUUGGAUACUGGGGAGACUUGAGUCUGGGAGGGGGCAGUGGAAUUCCUGGUGUAGCGGUGAAAUGCGUAGAUAUCAGGAGGAACACCGGUGGCGAAGGCGGCUGCCUGGCCUAAGACUGACGCUGAGGUGCGAAAGCGGUGGGGAGCGAACGGG
rnacentral:rRNA from 1 species